GCGGGUGUGGUGGAACGGUAGACACACCAGACUUAAAAUCUGUCGAGCGUAGCUCAUGCGGGUUCGAUUCCCGCCACCCGCACCA
rnacentral:tRNA from 1 species